CGCACAUACGCAGGUGCGUUGAUAUCGAACGUGGGGAGAGAUACCGUCUGAGCAACCAACAACAACGGGGUCUCCAUCCCUUGCUUCCGUCCUUUUGUCCCGCCUCUCACUCACACGAUGGCCGCCGUGCACCCCUCCGCAGAUCUCUCCUGCGACGUCGCAAUACAUCUCUCCGACACGGAGUUUACCUCUCGCAUUGACUACGCUGACGCCUACGUCCUCCCAGCCACCUCCACCACAGCAGGUGCUUCUGCUGAUGCGGCGCCGCUGCCGACGGCGACGCUCGUCUCGCCGUGGCUACUUGUCUCGCCGUCGGUCUGUGACGCAGACCCGUCGCCCUCUCCGUCCAUAGCAGUAACAGCAGCAGGCACCGCUCGCAGCCCUGCAGUGGAGACGGUGCCCCUCGCUUGGCGGUGUCCGUCUUGUGGCACACUUGAAGUGGAGCAGCUGUACUGGCGGCGACCGCAGCGAUCCAAAGAACGAGCCACAGAUGAAGCCUCUACCACUGCUGCUGUCCGCGCUGCGCUGGCGCGCAGCAUGCGACUGAAGGCGCCUUCACCAGCCCUGCAGGCGAAGCUGGAGCGGCACCGAUGGCGCAGAGAGCGACGAGAGGAGAUGCGUUGGCGGCCGCUGCACAUCAACGCGCGCUGUCGCAGCUGUUUCCUGUGUCCCCGCUGCGGCGGCCAUGGUAGCUUGCCAUUCUCCGAAGCAGCGCAAGUCAUUGAUACGAGCACGACCAAAUGUACAGCGGCGUCGUCGUUGCUGUUUACCACCACCGCUAGCGUGCUCAGUAGCACGCAGUCUGUGAGCUCGCUCGACAUACGACUCACCUCCGACGUGCAGUACUACGCCGUGUGUAUGUGCUGUCAGUGGCACAGCUACCGAGCCUUUCCCACGAUGGAGCAGCUCCUCGGGUAUUUGGAUGCGGUAAUGGGGGACGAGAAGGCGGAGACGCUGCGAGAGCGUCGGGUGGCGCAGCGAAACUUCAAUACCGCUCUUCGCGCCGGCCUCAUGGGGCUCCUGGGCGUCUAUCCCGACCUGGAGAAUCAGAUACGUUUGCAACACCAGCAGAAGCAGCAGGCAACCGUCUCGCAGGCCGCGUGGGACAAAUUUCGAAACCUGCGCAGUGCGCACAUCUACGACCGCAGCGCCGGCCCUCCAUCGCACUCAUCAUCGCAGCAGCAGCAACUCAGCGGCAAGAUGAUGCAAGAUGCCAUUAUGCACCUCCACCCUGCGCUCGCUCUGGAGCAGCUACGACACCAAGAGCAGCAGCGCCAGGAGGCUGCACGCGCAGCGUCGCUCCUCCAAGGUAUGAGCCAAGCUGCACCGCAGGCGAUGCGGGUCGUCGACUUGGCUCGCGAAGCCGCAGCUAAGCUGCAGGUAUCGCAGGAGGGAGAGGAAAAAGACAGGACACCACUCAGUGAAUGGCCACCCGCACAUCGCUCGACCUCAUCUGCCUCGGUCACCGCCGGCAGCGCCAAAAACGAUGUUGAAGUCAGCUUGAUCGCGCGUACUCAGCAGUGGUUCCUGGGGCUGCCGCUUGAAGCCGUGGACACUCGGCAGCAAAGCAUACAGACGUGGAUGCAACGCUAUCAGCCAGCGGCGGUCGUGGCGCAAGAACGCAAAGCAGCGGCGGCAGCAGGAGCAGCACCCGUGGCCAGCACCUCCGCUCUCAUGCACACGCCAACGUCCGCCUAUCUGCACUCCGUACUGCUUCGUGAGCAAGACCGACCGCUUGGCCUACCGGCAUACUACAUCCCCAGGGUCCGCAAGGAGCUCCUCACUGCGCUUGUGUGGCGGCUGCCGCCGGCAUUCGCUGCCAGGAAACCAUCGGCAGCAGAGCAGUCGCUUCCGUGCACACGUCUUGUUCUCCUCGACCGGCAUUCGUUGUCGGACGAGGAAGUGCGGCAGGUGUGCCAGCACUGGGUCGACGAGCGCGCGGCGCAGGUAGAGCGGCACGAGCGGAAGCGCCGCAGCGAGCUGGAGCAGCAGAACGGCGCAGGUAGCACCAUCACCACCACUGCCGGGAAGCAAUGCAAUAACGGCGACGGCGGCUUCGACUCCGACGGAGGAGACGAGGAGGAUGACGAUGAUGGCGAGGGCAUCGAAGGCCCCAAAGGCGGCGCCUCGCAAGACUCGAUGCGCCCGGCAACGGCCCAGCACCCACCACCCCAGCAGAGAAUCACGAAAAGUGUGUCGUCGAAACUACCAAUGCCGUUGUUCCUGGACGGUACCGACUUUUCCGCGCUGUCGUGCCUGCCCUUCCUCGAGUACCUGCGAAGUGGUGGCGGUAGCGGCGGCAACGCACACCUGUGCGAGUGGCAGUUCCGCUUGAUGAGCUUGCACAUGAUGCAUGACGUGUACCUGAAAAGGCUUGAGGUGGUGCGGACUGUGAUAGCGCCAUCGUGCGCCGUUGACGCUCCACAUGCACGUCCUUCACCCUUCCUUUUAUCUGCUAGUGCCGCCUGUGUGACGGUGCAGCUUUCAUCGUCGUCAGUGCCUGCUGUGGAGCUCCCAGUCGUGCUGACUCCUCGGUGCUCCCCGGAGGAACGUGCUGCAGCCCUCGCGGCAGUCCUGCAGGGUCGCGAUGGCUCCCAUGUUGGAGAUGCGGGCCCCUCGCCACCGCUUAGCAUCCCCUCGAUGCUCGCCAUGGGCAUCACCACUCCACCGAUCCGCCUGCCAGAGCUGCACAUCACUCUGCGCGACACAUCCGCGACGCAGGCUGGUGAGCCUUCAUCAUCGUCCAUGCGGACUCCUCUCCGUUGCGUGGAACUGCUGGUGGAGGUGCUGACGGCACUUUCGGAUGUCGAGAACGCGCAUCCUCAGUACCACGCGGUGCGCUAUGGACUCGUUGUGACACUCAACUCGUGCUGAUGCUCUCUGCAUGUGUGUGCGCGUGUGUGUGUGUGUGUGUGUCCCGGCAUGCACCAGCGUGCUUCGAUGCAACUUGAAGAGUCCUUGGCUGCAGACGUGAAAAAGGAUGCGGUGCACUGCCGCUCAAGCAAGAGACACCUCAGACAAGGAGACCGUCUGCAUGCAUGCCUGCACGAUUGAGGACUUCCACGCGCAUAAUGCGGUGUCGUGGGUGGGGAAGCUCGGUGUUGGCGCAGCGCCGACAACUCUGAAUCUCUGUUACGCAUCCUCCGCUGCGGUCGAUAUUCACGGACGGCGCACCUUCACACCAUGCCGUGCGCUCUCCCCCUUUCUCAUUGCCCAUCCCUCUACGGCAUGUGCUUAUCUGUCUUCCAUGUUGGUUGCGUACGCCGCACCACGAUGUGUGCGCGCACGCGUAUGUGUGUCGCUGUUUGUCCCCAUCCUCAUGCGAGGUACAUAGCUGACGCAUACGAACGGUGUACAUGUGCGUGUGCGUGCUGUUGUGUACCUCAGCCUGGAUGGGCAACUGCAGCAGCUUCCGCCACGCUGCCACUUCGUGAAGUGUGUGUGUAUUAAUGUGCUUUAUGGCUGCCCUGACGACUGCGCCGGUGCACUGCUGCAAAAGACGUGUUCGCCUGCGUAUUUUGUUGUUCAUGUGUCCGUAUCCGGUGCGCGUGCCUCUUCGCCCUGCGUGGCCAGCCGAUCCUCUGCCGGCACGCGCAGUGCAACGAGCGCUCAACGACGGGCACACCUCGUUUGGAAUGGAGAAGGCGUGCCUGGAGCAGUCCAUAAGGACUUCCCACGCUCGCUCGCUCUCUCUUGCCCCUUUUCGCUCGCUCCCCUUCCGAGGGCCCCGCGCGCGAGUGCCCCCCCCCCUCGUCCCCGUCCCAGCGGGAAAUUUUCGGUUAUUAUUAUUUUUUUUACCCCUCCUUGUAGGCUCGCUCUAUUUAUAUUGGUACAUUCUCCCUUCUCGGCACACAGCGGUGCGACGACGUUCGGGAGACGGUCAAGUGUUUUCUCCUUGACCAUUACUGCGAGCGAUAUUUUCGGUCGACCUAUCAGCUCUACCUCUUGCUGCCGUUUUCUGUGAGAAGGGCGCCCCCGGUAACCCUACUGCCCCUCCUCUCUCUUGUUAUUUCUACUGUACUUGUUUUCAGAGCGAGCCCCACCUCCCCAGCCGACCCUCUUCAUGUCCUCACCCGUUGAGACAGGAAGCUGGAAGGAUGCGUGGCGCCGCACCCCCAUCCGUGCGCCCAAGACACAAGCCUACAUUUAUGAAUGCGCUUCUAUGAAAAGACGCGCUCUGUGCUUGGCCGCGAUGGUCCUUCGGUGCAACGCUCUCUCGCCCCUCCCCCUCCUCCAUCUCUGCCACCCUCGCACGCGCGCUCUCGAAG
rnacentral:misc_RNA from 1 species